ensembl:lncRNA
GUAGUGUUGGUGGAGGUCGGGACUAGUAACAGGGAUGUUGUAGUGUUGGUGGAGGUUAGGAGUAGUAACAGGGAUGUUGUAGUAGUGUUGGAGGUCAGGAGUAGUAACAGGGAUGUUGUAGUGUUGGUGGAGGUUAGGAGUAGUAACAGGGAUGUUGUAGUGUUGGUGGAGGUUAGGAGUAGUAACAGGGAUGUUGUAGUGUUGUUGGAGGUCAGGAGUAGUAACAGGGAUGUUGUAGUGUUGGUGGAGGUUAGGAGUAGUAACAGGGAUGUUGUAGUGUUGUUGGAGGUCAGGAGUAGUAACAGGGAUGUUGUAGUGUUGGUGGAGGUUAGGAGUAGUAACAGGGAUGUUGUAGUGUUGGUGGAGGUCAGGAGUAGUAACAGGGUUUCUGAGCCAUGGUGGUGUUGAUGUUGUCUCUAUGGAAGUGCUGCCCUGGAAGUGCAAGGUAGUCAUCCAGUGUUGUAGACCCAGAUGUGCAUUUCUCUUUCUGUCUGUCUCUCUCUCUCG